AAUCUCGGCCCGAAGCUCCUGGGCUACUGUAACGAUACAUUUCAGGGGGCCAUUUCUUACAUAUUGCACCUUUUAAUAUUUUCCAUUACUACCCUAUUGCCUUUCGUGGUGUAGUUUCUUAUUGAGAGGAGAGUCGUGCUGGGUGUGUUAUCUGUAUUUCAUCAUGUUCAUAUAUUGAUGUGACACGUGAUGAGUGAUGUAAUAACGUUGAAAAAGAGUUUGCUUUAAAUGGUAACACAGAAAGUGUUUCUUAACAACUCAAACUGUGACAAUGCUGCACCGUCCAGAGUUCAUCAGUCAGUGUCCAAUCUGGUGACCUCCCUCUCUUUGCCUCUCUAUCUCUCUCUUAAGUGUUAAUGUACUUUAAGUGACCAAUUAUUUAGUUAGUGUGUGUACGCCUCGGGUGUCUCUCCCAACAAGUGGGGGGGAGGAUGCGGAGAACAGGAGCACCUAGAAGCAGAAGGAGGGGCCCCUCAGACCAGAGUGUAUAUUAGACCCUCACAAUCAGGGUACGAUACCCACUCCAGAUCAUCUGCUGUUUUACCCUCCUCAUCCUGCCGACGCUGAAACGUUUUGGGCUUUUCUUUUUUUCUCCCUCCAGGUCCACUAUGUUGGGACGACUACUUCUUCAGAGUGCAGUUAUUCUUUGGCUGGUGCAGACAGCGCACACAAGGGGUUACGGAGCUGUAUCCGGAGUACCAAAUGGACAGGGGCCACAACAUCAUGGGAGGAGACCUCAGAAUGGUGGAGGUGUAGGCAGAAUGCCGAUGCCAUCAAAAGGUGUGGGUCAGGCAAUGGGCGCUCAAAAUGGAUACGGUGGAUACCCAACAAAAGGAAUAGGCUACGGUGCAGCUGCUGGUGUGACCAAUGGAGGAGGGACAAAAGGCUAUGGAGCAGCAGCUGGUGCAACCAAUGAACAAGGCAGCAAACAGCAGGGAGGAAAUCCAGCAGUUUUACCCAAUGGUAACGGAGCUAAAUCUAAUGGAUAUGGUGUUCCAGGCGGCCCGACCAAUGGACAACCAAUGAAAGGCAACGGUUAUGGUGCGCAAGCUGGUGGAUAUGGUGGACAAGCAACUAAAGGCAAUGGUUAUGGAGUUCCUGCUGCAGCAACACAAAAUGGUAAUGGUGCUGCAGCUGCUGCACACAAUGGACCUGUAACAAAGGGCAAUGGAGGAUAUCCUUCAGUUUUACCUAACGGACAUGGAGCUACAUCUAAUGGAUAUGGUGCUCAAGCCGGCCCAACCAAUGGACAGCCAAUGAAAGGCAAUGGCUACGGAGCGCAAGCUGGUGGAUACGGUGGACAAGCAACUAAAGGCAAUGGCUAUGGUGCUGGAUCUAAUGUUCCUAAUGGAAAUGGGGCUAAAACCAAUGGUCAAGGAGCUGCAGCCGGCGGCAAUGGAGCAAGACCAAAUGGACAAGGGGGAGCUGGGAGUAAACCUAUGAAAGGUUAUGGCCGACCACCUUUUGGGGCAGGUCCAGGUGUUGGGAUGGGACCCUCCAGAGGUCUGGGUGUACCUCAGAUUGCCAAGAACCAAAGGGCCCAAUCACAUGGUGGAAAUGGUGGUAAUGGUUAUAAUGGCUAUGGAGCUCGACCCAUGGGAGGUUACAAUGGUGGUUAUGGCCGUGCUGGUAUGGGUCUCGGACCUCGGUAUGGAAAUGGAGGGAUGAAGGGACCAAAGCCAGGCUAUGGUGCUGCAGCUGGUGUACCCAAUGGGCAAGGUGCAAAAACCAAUGGUUAUGCUGGAGCCAGAGCCCCCAAUGGGAAUGGAGCCAUGCCAAAUGGGUAUGGUAAUAUUCCAAAUGGGUAUGGUGCCAAACCCAACAGUGAGAUGGUUUACUUCUUUUGAAAAAUCUUUU
ensembl:lncRNA